rnacentral:rRNA from 1 species
AACGAACGCUGGCGGCAUGCCUAACACAUGCAAGUCGAACGAGACCUUCGGGUCUAGUGGCGCACGGGUGCGUAACGCGUGGGAACCUGCCCUUAGGUUCGGAAUAACUCCCCGAAAGGGGUGCUAAUACCGGAUAAUGUCUUCGGACCAAAGAUUUAUCGCCUUUGGAUGGGCCCGCGUUGGAUUAGCUAGUUGGUAGGGUAAAAGCCUACCAAGGCGACGAUCCAUAGCUGGUCUGAGAGGAUGAUCAGCCACACUGGGACUGAGACACGGCCCAGACUCCUACGGGAGGCAGCAGUGGGGAAUAUUGGACAAUGGGCGAAAGCCUGAUCCAGCAAUGCCGCGUGAGUGAGGAAGGCCUUAGUGUUGUAAAGCUCUUUUACCCGGGAUGAUAAUGACAGUACCGGGAGAAGAAGCUCCGGCUAACUCCGUG